rnacentral:rRNA from 1 species
CCUACGGGGGGCAGCAGUGAGGAAUAUUGGUCAAUGGGCGCGAGCCUGAACCAGCCAAGUCGCGUGAGGGAGGACGGCCCUACGGGUUGUAAACCUCUUUUGCCGGGGAGCAACGGGCGCCACGUGUGGCGUCACUGAGAGUACCCGGAGAAAAAGCAUCGGCUAACUCCGUGCCAGCAGCCGCGGUAAUACGGAGGAUGCGAGCGUUAUCCGGAUUUAUUGGGGUUAAAGGGUGCGUAGGCGGAUCGUUAAGUCAGUGGUCAAAUUGAGGGGCUCAACCCCUUCCCGCCAUUGAAACUGGGGGUUGUGGGGGGGAGAGAAGUAUGCGGAAUGCGGGGUGUAGCGGUGAAAUGCAUAGAUAUCACGCAGAACCCCGAUUGCGAAGGCAGCAUGCCGGCUUCCGACUGACGCUGAAGCACGAAAGCGUGGGGAUCGAACAGGAUUAGAUACCCUUGUAGUC